rnacentral:rRNA from 1 species
GGUGCUUGCACCUGGUGGCGAGUGGCGAACGGGUGAGUAAUACAUCGGAACAUGUCCUGUAGUGGGGGAUAGCCCGGCGAAAGCCGGAUUAAUACCGCAUACGAUCUGCGGAUGAAAGCGGGGGACCUUCGGGCCUCGCGCUAUAGGGUUGGCCGAUGGCUGAUUAGCUAGUUGGUGGGGUAAAGGCCUACCAAGGCGACGAUCAGUAGCUGGUCUGAGAGGACGACCAGCCACACUGGGACUGAGACACGGCCCAGACUCCUACGGGAGGCAGCAGUGGGGAAUUUUGGACAAUGGGCGAAAGCCUGAUCCAGCAAUGCCGCGUGUGUGAAGAAGGCCUUCGGGUUGUAAAGCACUUUUGUCCGGAAAGAAAUCCCUGGCUCUAAUACAGUCGGGGGAUGACGGUACCGGAAGAAUAAGCACCGGCUAACUACGUGCCAGCAGCCGCGGUAAUACGUAGGGUGCGAGCGUUAAUCGGAAUUACUGGGCGUAAAGCGUGCGCAGGCGGUCUGUUAAGACAGAUGUGAAAUCCCCGGGCUCAACCUG